GACGAACGCUGGCGGCGUGCCUAAUACAUGCAAGUCGAGCGGACUUUCAAGAAGCUUGCUUUUUGAAAGUUAGCGGCGGACGGGUGAGUAACACGUGGGCAACCUGCCUGCAAGACGGGGAUAACUCCGGGAAACCGGGGCUAAUACCGGAUAAUAUCUUCCUUCGCAUGAAGGAAGGUUGAAAGGCGGCGCAAGCUGCCGCUUGCAGAUGGGCCCGCGGCGCAUUAGCUAGUUGGUGAGGUAACGGCUCACCAAGGCGACGAUGCGUAGCCGCCCGGAGAGGGUGAUCGGCCACACUGGGACGGAGACACGGCCCAGACUCCUACGGGAGGCAGCAGUAGGGAAUCUUCCGCAAUGGACGAAAGUCUGACGGAGAAACGCCGCGUGAGCGAAGAAGGUCUUCGGAUCGUAAAGCUCUGUUGUCAGGGAAGAACAAGUACCGUUCGAACAGGGCGGUACCUUGACGGUACCUGACCAGAAAGCCACGGCUAACUACGUG
rnacentral:rRNA from 1 species